rnacentral:rRNA from 1 species
GAUGAACCGUGCGAACGUUGUUCGGAAUCACUGGGCUUAAAGGGCGCGUAGGCGGGCCGGCAAGUCAGGGGUGAAAUCCCACGGCUCAACCGUGGAAGUGCCUUUGAUACUGCCGGUCUGGAGGGAGGUAGGGGCGUGCGGAACUUCCGGUGGAGCGGUGAAAUGCGUAGAUAUCGGAAGGAACACCGGUGGCGAAAGCGGCGCGCUGGACCUCUACUGACGCUGAGGCGCGAAAGCGUGGGGAGCAAACAGG